rnacentral:rRNA from 1 species
GUUGGGUAGGGGAGCGUUCUGUAAGCCUGUGAAGGUGUGCUGUGAGGCAUGCUGGAGGUAUCAGAAGUGCGAAUGCUGACAUAAGUAACGAUAAUGCGGGUGAAAAACCCGCACGCCGGAAGACCAAGGGUUCCUGUCCAACGUUAAUCGGGGCAGGGUGAGUCGACCCCUAAGGCGAGGCAGAAAUGCGUAGUCGAUGGGAAACGGGUUAAUAUUCCCGUACUGGUGAUAAUUGCGAUGGGGGGACGGAGAAGGCUAGGCUAUCCGGGCGACGGUUGUCCCGGUUUAAGGAUGUAGGCAGGUGAAUUAGGCAAAUCCGGUUCACUAUAUGCUGAGGUCCGAUGACGAGUCACUACGGUGAUGAAGUAGCUCAUGCCCCGCUUCCAGGAAAAGCCUCUAAGCUCUAGAUUAUCAUUAAUCGUACCCCAAACCGACACAGGUGGUCAGGUAGAGAAUACUCAGGCGCUUGAGAGAACUCGGGUGAAGGAACUAGGCAAAAUGGUGCCGUAACUUCGGGAGAAGGCACGCUGGCAUUAGGUGAAGUGAUUUACUCAUGGAGCUGAAGCCAGUCGCAGAUACCAGCUGGCUGCAACUGUUUAUUAAAAACACAGCACUGUGCAAACACGAAAGUGGACGUAUACGGUGUGACGCCUGCCCGGUGCUGGAAGGUUAAUUGAUGGGGUUAUCCGUAAGGAGAAGCUCUUGAUCGAAGCCCCAGUAAACGGCGGCCGUAACUAUAACGGUCCUAAGGUAGCGAAAUUCCUUGUCGGGUAAGUUCCGACCUGCACGAAUGGCGUAAUGAUGGCCAGGCUGUCUCCACCCGAGACUCAGUGAAAUUGAACUCGCUGUGAAGAUGCAGUGUACCCGCGGCAAGACGGAAAGACCCCGUGAACCUUUACUAUAGCUUGACACUGAACAUUGAGCCUUGAUGUGUAGGAUAGGUGGGAGGCUU